UACGAAGGGGGCUAGCGUUGUUCGGAAUUACUGGGCGUAAAGGGCGCGUAGGCGGCCUGCUAAGUCGAACGUGAAAUCCCCAGGCUUAACCUGGGAACUGCGUCGGAUACUGGAUGGCUUGAAUUCGGGAGAGGGAUGCAGAAUUCCAGGUGUAGCGGUGAAAUGCGUAGAUAUCGUAAGGAAGACCAGUGGCGAAGGCGGGUCUCUGGACAGUUCCUGAGCGCUGACGGGCACGA
rnacentral:rRNA from 1 species